UGAACCUAGGGGAGCAGCACAUGGUCUCGGGAAACAUUGUUGCUAAUGUAAGCCUGAGUGCAGCAUCUCCGAAAAAACAGUGCUGGUGGGUUAAUGGCCUUGUUCCUUUUACAGCAGCGUUUGCAAUGCUCAUCUUACCUGUGCUCCAGCCUCAGCUGAUCCGCUCAAACCAGAAGGAUGAAUACUACCUGAACUCUCUGCGGAGCUACGCUAAUGAGAUUUUCCAGAUCUUUGCCGGUGCUAAGCGAUGGCUGGAAUGGAAGAAGGAGGUUGAGUUACUGGCAGACCUGACAUACUUUCUUCUAACAACCUUGGCAGGUUACCAGACCCUCGGUGAGGAGUAUGUCAACAUCAUCCAGGUUGACUCCAGUGGGCAGCGGGUGCCAUCCUCUGCCAGACGGGCAGUGCUCAUUGUCCUUCACACCUGCAUUCCUUACCUGCUGGACCGAGGACUGAACCGUCUAGAGCAGAAUCUGCAGGCGGAGAGUGAGAGAUCCCAAGCACCAGACCACAGACACUUACCAAUAAGGCCAGGAGUCUCACACUGGCUGCAGGAGGCAAUCAGUACCUUGACCGAGCAGCAGAAAAAGGUGCUACUGCAGACUAUCUAUAUCCUGCGACAGGCAACCUCCUUACUCCACCGUCUGCACCUGGGCAUCUUCUAUCUCAAUGGAGCUUUCUACCACAUAGCUAAAAGAUUCACCAGGAUCACUUACCUGUGCGUCCGUGGUUUAUUCAGUGACAAUGCUGGACUCCGGUGGAGUUACGAAUUGCUGGGGAAGAUUUCUCUGCUGCAGCUAGCCCUGACUGUUGCUAUGCAAGUUAACAGCUAUCAGCAAAGACAACGUGCCCGGCAAGAGUGGAAACUCCAUCGCAACCUUCCAUAUUCGAGGAACCCCAGUCGGGACCAUUCAGCCUGCAGCUCCAAAUGCAUACUUUGUCUGGAAGAACGCAGGCAUUCAACAGCCACACCAUGUGGCCACCUCUUCUGCUGGGAAUGCAUCACGGAAUGGUGCAAUACAAAGAAUGUCCACUUUGUCGGGAGACAUUCCAGCCACACAGACUCAUCUACUUGCGUCAUUACAUUUAGGAUGAAAGAAAUAGCAUUUCUUUAAUGCCUGUCACAACUUCAAGAGAUCCCAAAGUGCUUUACAGCUAACGAAGUACAUUUGACCUGCAAUUACUUAAGUUUGAAAGAAGAGGCUCAAUAGAUGUGUGGUUCGGAGACUUCCAUCUGAUUGACAUUGAAGCACAACAAUAAAAGAGAACAGAACAACUAAGUCAGUAGCAUGUCUGCUCAAAGGAAUUGUGACAAGUAUGCUGAAAUAUUACUGCUUUCAAGAUCAGAUGAAAACCUUAGAGUUCAGACUGUUUGAUGCCAAGCUUUAUAUCUGAACAUAAUAGGAGUUGAAGUACUAAACCAUUUUCCUUUGCCAUUGUUUAUCCUUCUAUUCUUCAGGAUAUUAUACUUUUGGUCCACUUCCAUUGGAUGCAGCAACUGAGGAGCUCACUUGUUCUGUGUACUUAAAUUGUAGGAGAUAACUCAACCAUGGAGGAUCUCCAGAGUGCUGUACUGUUUUUCCUGAUGACAAAAAGGAGAAAAGGAGGAAGUACAGUUGAAGCAACUGGCAAAAGAAAUACAAUUAAAGGGAAAUUUAAAUGAAGUCAUCCUAUAAAUUAAAUCAAAAUGGUCAGGA